rnacentral:rRNA from 1 species
AGCUCCAAUAGCGUAUAUUAAAGUUGUUGCGGUUAAAAAGCUCGUAGUUGGAUUUCUGUUGAGAGCAGCGCGUCCACCUUUUGGGUGAGUAUGUUGCUUGGUCUCGGCAUCUUCUUGAAAAACGUUUCUGCGCUUGAUUGCGUGGGGCGGAGUUCAAGACUUUUACUUUGAGGAAAUUAGAGUGUUCACGGCAGGCAUACGCCUUGAAUAUAUUAGCAUGGAAUAAUAAUAUAGGAUUUUGGUUCUAUUUUGUUGGUUUCUAGAGCUAAAAUAAUGAUUAAUAGGGACAAUUGGGGGCAUUCGUACUAAUGCGUCAGAGGUGAAAUUCUUGGAUUGCAUUAUGACGAACUACUGCGAAAGCAUUUGCCAAGGAUGUUUUCA